rnacentral:rRNA from 1 species
GACGAACGCUGGCGGUGUGCCUCAAACAUGCAAGUCGAGGGAGGGUUGGCGAGUGGCUUGCCAUUCGUUCAACUCUACCGGCAAACGGGUGAGUAACACGUGGGAAACCUGCCCUGAAGACGGGGACAACUUCGGGAAACCGGGGCUAAUACCCGAUACCCUCCACGGGGGGCAUCCUCUGUGGAGGAAAGGUUCCGCAAGGUUCGCUUCAGGAGGGUCCCGCCGGCCUAUCAGCUAGUUGGUGGGGUAACGGCCUACCAAGGCUAUGACGGGUAGCUGGUCUGAGAGGACGAUCAGCCACACUGGGACUGAGACACGGCCCAGACUCCUACGGGAGGCAGC